UACGGAGGAUGCGAGCGUUAUCCGGCUUUAUUGGGUUUAAAGGGUGCGUAGGCGGAAUAUCAAGUCAGCGGUAAAAAUUCGGGGCUCAACCCCUUCCCGCCAUUGAAACUGGCGUUCUUGAGUGGAAGAGAAGUAUGCGGAAUGCGUGGUGUAGCGGUGAAAUGCAUAGAUAUCACGCAGAACCCCGAUUGCGAAGGCAGCAUGCCGGCUUCCGACUGACGCUGAAGCACGAAAGCGUGGGGAUCGAACAGG
rnacentral:rRNA from 1 species